CAAACUGGAGAUGGCGACCGGCGCACGGGUGAGUAACACGUAUCCAACCUGCCGAUAACUCGGGGAUAGCCUUUCGAAAGAAAGGUUAAUACCCGAUGGCAUAAUAGAACCGCAUGGUUUGAUUAUUAAAGAAUUUCGGUUAUCGAUGGGGAUGCGUUCCAUUAGGCAGUUGGUGGGGUAACGGCCCACCAAACCUUCGAUGGAUAGGGGUUCUGAGAGGAAGGUCCCCCACAUUGGAACUGAGACACGGUCCAA
rnacentral:rRNA from 1 species